GGGCCUGAGCCAGGGUGGAAGCUGUGUAAGUAGAGAGAGAAGGGAAAGUAUAAGGGAGAUAUCAGGGAAGUAAAAAAGAAGGGUUGGCAAAUAAUUGGAUAUAUGGGGUGAAUGAAAAUGCAAAGUUGAGGAUGACACUGAAAUUUUGAAUGUGAGUGCCUAGAAGACAUUCGUGACCCAGUGAUAGUCUCAUCAUUCCUGUCGAUCAGAAGGAAGGGCUUCAGAGGGAGAACAUCAUAGGCAGAAGAAUCAACACUGAGAAAUGCUAUUCUGGAAAAGUUCUUAUGAAGAAAAAGAAACUGGUUGUUCAGUUGGCAAUGAUGGGAUCUUGAGAGGAAGUGACCAAUCCCUCCUUGAGUUCAUAAUAGGGAAGUAGAAGAAAAUAAGAUAUAAUCUGAAAUAAGUCCUAUAUUUGAAAAAAAAAACAAAAAAACAGAUUUUUAAGGCACCUUAGGAAAGACAAGUUCCUAUUUGUCCUAUGGCCUAAAAUUUCAUGAAAGUCAGCCCAGAAGGGUUGAUGAGAAGCUAUUAAGAAAGAAUUCUGAAGACACGAUUUUAAAAAAAAUCCAAGAAGAAAAAAAAAUAGUUGUUUAAAAGGAAUAUGGAUGCACAGAGAACUCGCCAAAAAGAAACAUGCAGCAGGUGGAUAGAAUCAAAGCCAGAGCCAUCUGGACCAGACAUAGAUAGAACAAUUGGAGAUGUUAACUGAGGGAAGCCCAAGGAGAGAUGGGGAAUGGUGAACAGUCAGAACACACACGCCAUUUAUCAAUUAAGCUCGCCGUCAUCUAUAGACACGGUUCAUGGCAUCCCAAAACAAUUACAAUAGUAACAUCAAAGAUCACUGAUCACAGAUCACCAUAGCAGAUAUAACAAUAAUGGAAAAGUUUAAAAUAUUGCUAGAAUUACCAAAAUGUGAUAGAGACAUGAUGUGAGCACAUGCUUUUGGGAAAAUGGCAUUUGCUCCGUGAAAUGUUGCCAAAAAUCUUCAAUAUGUGAAAAAGAUAAUGUCUGCAAAGUCAAUAAAGU